rnacentral:lncRNA from 1 species
GCAAGUGGCAAAUGGCUUUGUGGUUGGUACCCGAGACCCAAGUUUGAAUACUAGUUGAUUCACAUUUCUUGCUAAGUUUAUUUCUAAAUAAAAUAAACAAAGCGGGUAGCAUGCUACCUAUCUCUUAAAAAAAAAAAAAAAUCUUUUGCAAAUCAGACAUUUAUUUCUACUUCUGUUUUUAAUUAUACAUAUAUAUUGUGAGACCCCAGAUAGUCCUAUAUAUGAGAUAUAAUAGGGCUAAACUCUUAACCCGGCUUAAGCAUUUUGGGUGGUGGCAAGGCCCAAGAGGUUAAGAGAGUUAAGCGUACUAGGAUGGGAGUAGUCCUAGGAUGGGUGACCUCCUGGGAAGUCGGGGCGUCACAAAUGGUAUCAGAGCCAAUUACCAGCCGGAAGUGUGAGAUGAGUCUCGGCUGAGCCAGGGUCUCGAUGACGGGCUAGCGAGAUGAGUCUCACAUCGCCUGAUACUUGUGAGUCUGAGCCUGACGAGAACGUCAGGGCUUAAAGGAGGGGAGAUUGUGAGACCCCAGAUAGUCCUAUAUAUGAGAUAUAAUAUGACUAAAUUUUUAACCCGACUUAAGCAUUUUGGGUGGCGGCAAGGCCCAAGAGGUUAAGAGAGUUGAGCGUGCUAGGACGAU